rnacentral:rRNA from 1 species
UACGUAGGGGCAAGCGUUGUCCGGAAUCAUUGGGCGUAAAGCGCGCGUAGGCGGCCCGGUAAGUCCGCUGUAAAAGUCCAGGGCUCAACCCUGGAAAGCCGGUGGAUACUGUCGGGCUAGAGUCCGGAAGAGGCGAGUGGAAUUCCUGGUGUAGCGGUGGAAUGCGCAGAUAUCAGGAGGAACACCGGUGGCGAAGGCGGAUCUCUGGGCCUGUCCUGACGCUGAGGCGCGAAAGCUAGGGGAGCGAACAGG